rnacentral:rRNA from 1 species
UUCUUGGAGAGUUUGAUCCUGGCUCAGGACGAACGCUGGCGGCGUGCCUAAUACAUGCAAGUCGAGCGA